rnacentral:rRNA from 1 species
GACGAACGCUGGCGGCGUGCUUAACACAUGCAAGUCGAACGGAAAGGCCCUGCUUGCAGGGUACUCGAGUGGCGAACGGGUGAGUAACACGUGGGUGAUCUGCCCUGCACUUCGGGAUAAGCCUGGGAAACUGGGUCUAAUACCGGAUAGGAGCCAUUUUUAGUGUGAUGGUUGGAAAGUUUUUUCGGUGUAGGAUGAGCUCGCGGCCUAUCAGCUUGUUGGUGGGGUAAUGGCCUACCAAGGCGGCGACGGGUAGCCGGCCUGAGAGGGUGGACGGCCACAUUGGGACUGAGAUACGGCCCAGACUCCUACGGGAGGCAGCAGAGGGGAAUAUUGCACAAUGGGCGCAAGCCUGAUGCAGCGACGCCGCGUGGGGGAUGACGGCCUUCGGGUUGUAAACUCCUUUCGCUAGGGACGAAGCUUUUUGUGACGGUACCUAGAUAAGAAGCACCGGCUAACUACGUG